rnacentral:rRNA from 1 species
CGAACGCUGGCGGCGUGCUUAACACAUGCAAGUCGAGCGAUGAAGUUUCUUCGGAAAUGGAUUAGCGGCGAACGGGUGAGGAACACGUGAAGAAUCUGCCCUCCACUUUGGGAUAACACCGGGAAACCGGUGCUAAUACCGAAUAUUGAAACAUAAGUGGCAUCACUGAGUUUUGAAAGAAUUUCGGUGGAGGAUGACUUCGCGGCCUAUCAGCUAGUUGGUGAGGUAAUGGCUCACCAAGGCAACGACGGGUAGCCGGCCUGAGAGGGCGACCGGCCACACUGGGACUGAGACACGGCCCAGACUCCUACGGGAGGCAGCAGUGGGGAAUAUUGGGCAAUGGAGGAAACUCUGACCCAGCGACGCCGCGUGCGGGAUGAAGGCCUUCGGGUUGUAAACCGCUUUCAGUAGGGAAGAAGCGAAAGUGACGGUACCUACAAAAGAAGCACCGGCUAACUAUGUGCCAGCAGCCGCGGUAAUACAUAGGGUGCAAGCGUUGUCCGGAAUUAUUGGGCGUAAAGAGCUCGUAGGUCGUUUGUUACGUCGGAUGUGAAAACCUGAGGCUCAACCUCAGGCCUGCAUUCGAUACGGGCAAACUAGAGUUUGGUAGGGGAGACUGGAAUUCCUGGUGUAGCGGUGGAAUGCGCAGAUAUCAGGAGGAACACCAAUGGCGAAGGCAGGUCUCUGGGCCAAUACUGACACUGAGGAGCGAAAGUCUGGGGAGCGAACAGGAUUAGAUACCCUGGUAGUCCAGACCGUAAACGGUGGGCACUAGUUGUGGGAACCUUCCACGGUUUCUGCGACGCAGCUAACGCAUUAAGUGCCCCGCCUGGGGAGUACGAUCGCAAGAUUAAAACUCAAAGGAAUUGAC